rnacentral:lncRNA from 1 species
UGAACUUGUUGAAGUUGUUCGUGUGGCCGAGUUGGAUGUUGUUACCUAAACCUUGGCCAAUUUGAUGGUCUUGUUGUAGUGGAGUUGGAAACUGAAAUUGUUGUUGUUCUUGGAGUUGUUGUUGUGUUCUUAAGGUUCUUCACCCUUUCAUCAUCUUGUUAAUCCUUAAAGUGCAAACUAGAUCUAAAAAGGUAAAAGACAAGCUUGUAGUAGUUGUUAGUGAAAGACUUGUCCCUAUCACUUCAAAAGACUUUUCAUCUACUUUUCCUUGAUUUAAGGACCUUGUUUCAAGGAGAAAGUUCAAAGAAGUCAAGUUUUGCUUUUGAAAUUUUAACAAAAAGGCUCCAAAACCACUUUUCCCUCCAUUAACCAAAUCCACCAAUUCCAAAUUGUAUAUUGAUCAAGACGUGAAAUUGGGAAAUAAAAUUUUGAUAAAACUCGA